rnacentral:rRNA from 1 species
GACGAACGCUGGCGGCGUGCUUAACACAUGCAAGUCGAACGAAGAGCGAUGGAAGCUUGCUUCUAUCAAUCUUAGUGGCGAACGGGUGAGUAACGCGUAAUCAACCUGCCCUUCAGAGGGGGACAACAGUUGGAAACGACUGCUAAUACCGCAUACGAUCUAAUCUCGGCAUCGAGGAUAGAUGAAAGGUGGCCUCUAUGUAUAAGCUAUCAUUGAAGGAGGGGAUUGCGGCUGAUUAGCUAGUUGGAGGGGUAACGGCCCACCAAGGCGAUGAUCAGUAGCCGGUCUGAGGGGAUGAACGGCCACAAUGGGACUGGGACACGGCCCAGACUCCUACGGGAGGCAGCAGUGGGGAAUCUUCCGGAAUGGACGGAAGUCUGGCGGAGCAACGCCGCGUGGGUGAUGACGGCCUUCGGGUUGUAAAGCUCUGUUAAUCGGGAAGAAAGGCCUUCUUGCGAAUAGUGAGAAGGAUUGACGGUACCGGAAUAGAAAGCCACGGCUAACUACGUG